rnacentral:lncRNA from 1 species
GGAGCUGCUGCGCUCAGAGCGCUCAGACCUUGACCGCAGCAGCCGGCGACGGAGGCAAACUCCCGCCCGCCAGCCCUCCCGGCGACAUGCGCCUCGGCUAGCGGCUCGCUGGUCCCCCGCGCCACCACGCGUCUUUUUUUUUUUUUCUUCCUCUCUCGAUUCUCUUUUUCUCUCCCGCACACACGCACACACAGUCUCACAUCAGUCUAUACACUGGAGGAUAAAAAAAAAAUAACAUUGCCUUCGUGCCCCCUCCCUCUCCACCCCCAGCAGCGGAGAAACGGCGCGUUGAGGGGCGCCGGACCGUCUGGAAAUGCUAAUCCUCAAGCGCUUCCUCGCUUGCAUUCAGCUCCUCUGUGUUUGCCGCCUUGGUGAGUGAUCAAGACCGCGGUGGGGUUUCAUCUCCGGGCCCGGUGGGACGCGGUUGGGGGGAUUUCAGAGUAUUCCCUACUAGCUGCCGCCGCCAUCUAGAGCAAGCAGAGAACAGGGACCAUCACCUCGGAUCCCGCGAUGUUGGCGGUGGCAGGACGGAUGUCAGCUGCGUGGGGUACGCGCCCUCUCCCCAGCUCCUGCCUCCGCCACCUUCCCUUUGCCCACGGGGAUGC